rnacentral:rRNA from 1 species
GACGAACGCUGGCGGCGUGCUUAACACAUGCAAGUCGAACGGAAAGGCCCUGCUUUUGUGGGGUGCUCGAGUGGCGAACGGGUGAGUAAAACGUGAGUAACCUGCCCUUGACUUUGGGAUAACUUCAGGAAACUGGGGCUAAUACCGGAUAGGAGCUCCUGCUGCAUGGUGGGGGUUGGAAAGUUUCGGCGGUUGGGGAUGGACUCGCGGCUUAUCAGCUUGUUGGUGGGGUAGUGGCUUACCAAGGCUUUGACGGGUAGCCGGCCUGAGAGGGUGACCGGCCACAUUGGGACUGAGAGACGGCGCAGACUCCUACGGGAGGCAGCAGUGGGGAAUAUUGCACAAUGGGCGGAAGCCUGAUGCAGCAACGCCGCGUGCGGGAUGACGGCCUUCGGGUUGUAAACCGCUUUCGCCUGUGACGAAGCGUGAGUGACGGUAAUGGGUAAAGAAGCACCGGCUAACUACGUG